rnacentral:rRNA from 1 species
GAUGAACGCUGGCGGCGUGCCUAAUACAUGCAAGUCGAGCGAACAGACGAGGAGCUUGCUCCUCUGACGUUAGCGGCGGACGGGUGAGUAACACGUGGAUAACCUACCUAUAAGACUGGGAUAACUUCGGGAAACCGGAGCUAAUACCGGAUAAUAUAUUGAACCGCAUGGUUCAAUAGUGAAAGACGGUUUUGCUGUCACUUAUAGAUGGAUCCGCGCCGCAUUAGCUAGUUGGUAAGGUAACGGCUUACCAAGGCGACGAUGCGUAGCCGACCUGAGAGGGUGAUCGGCCACACGGGAACUGGAACACGGUCCAGACUCCUACGGGAGGCAGCAGUAGGGAAUCUUCCGCAAUGGGCGAAAGCCUGACGGAGCAACGCCGCGUGAGUGAUGAAGGUCUUCGGAGCGUAAAACUCUGUUAUUAGGGAAGAACAAAAGUGUAAGUAACUAUGCACGUCUUGACGGUACCUAAUCAGAAAGCCACGGCUAACUACGUG